rnacentral:rRNA from 1 species
UACGGAGGGUGCAAGCGUUAUCCGGAUUCACUGGGUUUAAAGGGUGCGUAGGUGGGCUUGUAAGUCAGUGGUGAAAUCUCCGUGCUUAACAUGGAAACUGCCAUUGAUACUAUAGGUCUUGAAUUUUCCGGAGGUCAGCGGAAUAUGUCAUGUAGCGGUGAAAUGCUUAGAUAUGACAUAGAACACCGAUAGCGUAGGCAGCUUACUACACAAAUAUUGACACUGAGGCACGAAAGCGUGGGGAUCAAACAGG